AGAGCGAACGCUGGCGGCAGGCCUAAUACAUGCAAGUCGAACGAACCCUUCGGGGUUAGUGGCGGACGGGUGAGUAACACGUGGGAACGUGCCUUUUGGUUCGGAACAACUCAGGGAAACUUGAGCUAAUACCGAAUGUGCCCUUCGGGGGAAAGAUUUAUCGCCAUUAGAGCGGCCCGCGUCUGAUUAGCUAGUUGGUGGGGUAAAGGCCCACCAAGGCUACGAUCAGUAGCUGGUCUGAGAGGAUGAUCAGCCACACUGGGACUGAGACACGGCCCCAGACUCCUACGGGAGGCAGCAGUAGGGAAUCUUGCGCAAUGGGCGAAAGCCUGACGCAGCCAUGCCGCGUGAAUGAUGAAGGUCUUAGGAUUGUAAAAUUCUUUCAGCGGGGACGAUAAUGACGGUACCGCGAGAAGAACGCCCCGGCUAACUUCGUGCCAGCAGCCGC
rnacentral:rRNA from 1 species